UGCCAGCAGUCGCGGUUACACCAAGAAAUUAAGUCAUACUUAAAUGGUAAAAAGACAGUUAAACUUAAUAAUACUUAAAGUUUUCUAACCUUUUAUAAAGAAGUAAAAUUUAUAUAUAAAUGUGUAAUUUAAUAACAGCUAUAAAGUUGAAUCUGUGACAGCCUGGAGGGAAACUGGGAUUAGAUACCCCAUUAUUCCUGGUUAUAAAUCAAAAUUAAAUUUACCAGAGUACUAUGAAUAUUAUAAAAUUUAAAACUCAAAGGACUUGGCGGUGUUUUAGACCACUUAGGGGAACCUGUCCCAUAAUCGAUAAUCCGCGUUACACCUAACCUUUUUUUGCUUUCAGCUUGUAUAUCGUUGUCGUCAGGUAACUUUUUAGAAAUUAGAAGUUAGCUAAAAAUAGUGAGUUUAAACGUCAAAUCAAGGUGCAGCUAAUAGAAAGGUGAGGAUGGGUUACAAUUAUUUUAAUUAUAAUUACAGAAAAUCAUAAGAAUUAAUGAUAAUGAAGGAGGACUUAAAAGUAAAUUAGACUAUAUAAAUAAUUUGAAUAAGGCUCUGAAAUGUGCACACAUCGCCCGCCACUCU
rnacentral:rRNA from 1 species